CUGAUUUUGGCAUGCUUUAAUACCGUACAGAAAAUGAAUAAAUUAAACUUGAUUUACAGCCUUUUUCAUUUUUAUUAGAGCCGCUCCAAACAUUUUAUGUACCGUACGUGCCAGAUGAGCUGCACCAAAUGGUUUGAGGCUCCGGCACUGAUAUUAUAUAAAUUAAGUUGUUUUAAUUUGCAUAGUUUAAUUAACUGACACUGGCAAAGAACUAAAAACAGAGGUAUGGGUGAUGCUGAGGGCCGGACGCGCCCGCAGAGGCAGCCCUAUGGGAUAUGGGGAGGGGUCCCUCACCCCCAAAGGGCUGCGAUGCUGAAUGCUGGGGGGGCUCCGCUCAGUCCUUCAGAUGGGGAAACUGAGGCACCGCUCAACCGCUGCAGUGCAAACAGAGGCCAGGUCAACCCAGGCUGACCCAGCAGCGUUGCGUGGCUCUGUGUGGAGCGCUGGGAAGGCAAACAGUGAAAGAGGUCUGAAGUGAUGUCACGGUGCCCCAGCGUCGGCCACGCUGUGCGUUUUGAUCUGCUGCCCAUCCCUCAGCACAGCAGCGCUUUGAUAAGUGGGUGAUGCUCUCCUCCCCCUCGCGCCAUUCAUCCUGCAGAAUUUCACACCAGGAAACAGCUUCAUUACAUCAACAACAGGAAGACCCCACUGAUUUGUCACAGGGAAAAACAGCUGUUAGUCACACAUCAAGGGAGCAGGGGAGGGAAAAAAAUCUCACCUUCUUCCUUUAAUGUUCGCGCCGUGCUUUAAUGUGAAUUGCUCUGCAGAGGAAAGCGGCCACCAGCUCUCCCAUAAGUAACCAUCACCCAGCGAGCACCAGUUAAUAUCUGAGCGUCUCCCUGCCUCUCCCGCUACAUGAUUGCUUUCGAAAGAAAGAUUAAUUCCAACUUUAAAAAGGAAAACACUAUUUUUAUCAUUGCCAGAAGUCUAUAUGGGUUUAAAAAAGAAAAAGCGCUCGCUUGUCGUUUUACAUCUUGCAGUUUUGUCAGUUGUUUUAAAACAUGUCUCCUGUAAUAAAUAAGAUCAUUUUUAUGCAUUUGUUCUGCAGCGAUCGGAGCGGCGCGGAGCCGGGGAGCGGCCGUGGGGCCAUGGGCAGAGUGUGGCUUCCCUGGAGCCGGGGUGGGACCUGGCAAACCCAGGAGACAGAAAAUAGGGAAGAAGAGCACCAAAGGCCACGUGGUUGUGUUGGUCAUGGAGCACGUCUUGUGCUCUUACUGGUACAGGAGAAAACCCAAAAGACCAGAAGUAGAGAAGAGCACCAAGGGCUACGCAAUGCGUUGGCCGUGGUCUAUGCUUGGUGCUGCUAAUGGUAGAGCAGAAAACCCAAAAGACCAAAGAUAGAGAAUGAAAGCACCAAGGGCUACACAACGCAUUGGCCAUGGUCUAUGCUUUGUGCUCUUACUGAUACAGGAGAAAGCCAAAAGACCAAAAAUAGAGAAUAAGAGCACCAAGGUCUACACCACAUGCUGGCCAUGGUCCAUGCUUGGUGCUCUUACUGGUAGAAGAGAAAACCCAAAAGACCAAACAUAGGGAAUAAGAGCACUGAGGGCUAUGCAAUGCGUUGACCAUGGACCACAUUUUGUGCUCUUACUGAUAUAGGAGCAAAACCCAACAAAAAUAAGAGCAUAAAAGCACCAAGGGCUACACAACGCAUUGGCCAUGGUCUACAUUUUGCACUCUUACUGUUAUAGGAGCGUGAUUUUAUUUUGUUAAUGCUGUGUUGUUGGCACACAACUUGAAUUCAUUUGAGGAUAGACUUUUUUUUCCUCUUUCCUUCGGAUUUGAAUGGCUCCUUUGAACAGAGGCCAUGCCAUGGCUACGCUGGUCAUGGUAGACCCAGCAGAGCCACUUCCCAGAGCCCAGAGCACACUGUGAGGGGCGGCCCCAUGGGCUCAGUAAUGGCAGCACUGUUGGAACAUAAAGCAUCUGCCAGGGGGUGGUGUGUUUCAUUGCAACUCUCUGCCUCUCUCCCUGCAGCGGGGACUCCGAACCCAGAGGUGGUUCUGUGCUCCAGCAUCACCACCUCCAUGCACUGUGAACUCAGACUCUCCCAACUCCUCUCUCCCAGAUGGAGCCCAUGGGAGGCUGCAGUGAUACUGGGAAAUGUUUAAGAGUAUAAACCAAACAGAGUGGAAAACCACUGAAAGCAAUGAGUGUUGCGGGUUGCAGUGUAAGGAAAUGGCACUUUUUGUGGGGUUGGUUCCCCACUGCAGGUGAACCCCAAGGGCAGGUGAUGGCAUGCAACAUCCAGUGCCCACGUGCCCAUUCCUGCAACAGCAGAAAACACUUUGCCACAGUCAAGUGCUGCUGCUGAUAAAAGGAAUUUUAAUGCUGGUGAUUACAUUAUGUGCAAAAUCAAUAUGUACACAUGCAAAGUGUGUUGGCAACUCAGGUUUGGGCGACACUGCUGACCUGGCAGCACCUUCACCGUGUGCUGGGCGUGCACCCAGGCGGGGUGCCAGAAGGGUCAUCCUGCAGGGACGGGGUGCCAAGUUGUGCCGUGCCAUGGCAAGCUGUGCUGGGCUGUGCAUAGCUGAGCUGUGUUGUGGCAGCCAAGCUGUGCCAUGCUAUGCCAUGCCAUGCCAUGCCAUGCCAUGCCAUGAGAAACCUCACUGCCUGAGCCACGCCGUGCCGUUCCGAGCUGUGCCAGCAGCACUGUGCUGUGCCCUGCGAGCCAAGCCGAGCCACGCCGAGCUGUGCCAGCCAUGCCCUGCCAGCCGAGCUGUGCCAUGCCUUGCCAAGCCACGCAAAGGCCACGCUGUGCCGUGCUAAUCCGUGCGAUGCCGAGCCGAGCCGAGCCGCGCUGCUCUGCGCUGCGCUGCGCUGCGCCGGCGGCCGCUCUCCCCC
rnacentral:lncRNA from 1 species